rnacentral:sRNA from 1 species
UUUUUCCGCAAGGAAGGAGAAGGCUCGCGUGGCCGCGGGAAGCUCAGUUUUUAUUGAAGACAGAGUCUGGGAGAAGAAGGGGGACUCCGGAAGACAGUGAUGCGGUCGGAGUGGCUGGCGCUGUCAGCCGGCCCGGGAGGUCGGCGCGGGUGGCUGGAGACACACAGCUACAAUUACGAAGAGCCUCGGGCCUCACCACCCAGCUGCAGCUCAGGAGGCACACGGUUAAUACCACCGAGUUCGGGCCGCCGGCCUCGGCUUAGAGUAGCCCCUGGGCCGCACGCUGCCGCCCGCCGGCCACAGAGCUACCGCCGACGCGGGCGACCCCCACAGGCGCGCAGCUCCUCCAAGGUCCUAGAGCGGCUCCGUGCGGCCCCGCGCUUCCGCUUCCCGUCCCCGCCCCCGGUGGCCGCCCCCGGGACGCCUGGGU